rnacentral:rRNA from 1 species
UUCCGGUUGAUCCUGCCGGACCCGACUGCUAUCAGAGUGGGACUAAGCCAUGCGAGUCGACGUAGCAAUGCGUGGCGAACGGCUCAGUAACACGUAGUCAACAUACCCAGGGGACGUGGAUAACCUCGGGAAACUGAGAAUAAACCACGAUAGGUCACGAUUUCUGGAAUGGAUCAUGGCAUAAAUCUACAUGGCCCCUGGAUUGGACUGCGGCCGAUCAGGCAGUUGGUGAGGUAAUGGCCCACCAAACCUAUAACCGGUACGGGCUCUGAGAGGAGAAGCCCGGAGAUGGGCACUGAGACAAGGGCCCAGGCCCUAUGGGGCGCAGCAGGCGCGAAACCUCUGCAAUAGGCGAAAGCCUGACAGGGUUACUCUGAGUGAUUUCCGCUUAGGGGAUCUUUUGGCACCUCUAAAAAUGGUGCAGAAUAAGGGGUGGGCAAGUCUGGUGUCAGCCGCCGCGGUAAUACCAGCACCCCGAGUGGUCGGGACGAUUAUUGGGCCUAAAGCAUCCGUAGCCGGUUCUGCAAGUCUUCCGUUAAAUCCAGCCGCUCAACGGAUGGGCCGCGGAGGAUACUAUAGGACUAGGAGGCGGGAGAGGCAAGCGGUACUCAGUGGGUAGGGGUAAAAUCCUUUGAUCCAUUGAAGACCACCAGUGGCGAAGGCGGCUUGCCAGAACGCGCUCGACGGUGAGGGAUGAAAGCUGGGGGAGCAAACCGGAUUAGAUACCCGGGUAGUCCCAG